rnacentral:rRNA from 1 species
AUGCACGCUGGCGGCGUGCCUAAUACAUGCACGUCGAACGCUGGAGAUCUAGCUUGCUAGAUCGAAGGAGUGGCGAACGGGUGAGUAAUACAUAAGCAACCUACCCACGAAGACUGGGAUAAUCUCUGGAAACGGGGACUAAUACCGGAUAGGUAAUCGGAAGGCAUCUUCUGGUUAUUAAAGGUUAAAAACACUGGUGGAUGGGCUUAUGGCGCAUUAGUUAGUUGGUGAGGUAACGGCCCACCAAGACGAUGAUGCGUAGCCGGCCUGAGAGGGUGAACGGCCACAUUGGGACUGAGACACGGCCCAGACUCCUACGGGAGGCAGCAGUAGGGAAUUUUCGGCAAUGGGGGCAACCCUGACCGAGCAACGCCGCGUGAGUGAAGACGGCCUUCGGGUUGUAAAGCUCUGUUGUAAGGGAAGAACGGUAGAUAGAGAAUAUCUAAGUGACGGUACCUUACCAGAAAGCCACGGCUAACUACGUG